rnacentral:rRNA from 1 species
GACGAACGCUGGCGGCGUGCUUAACACAUGCAAGUCGAGGGGGUUCGUGGGGCAACUCACGGAUCACCGGCGAACGGGUGCGUAACACGUGAGCGACCUGCCGUACCUGUGGGGGAUAGCCGGCCCAACGGCCGGGUAAUACCGCAUACGCUUGUCUUGGGGCAUCCUGGGACAAAGAAAGCUCUGGGGGCAACCCGUGGGGCGCAGGACGAGGGGCUCGCGGCCUAUCAGCUAGUUGGCGGGGAACGGCCCACCAAGGCGGUGACGGGUAGCUGGUCUGAGAGGAUGGCCAGCCACAUUGGGGACUGAGAGACGGCCCAGACUCCUACGGGAGGCAGCAGUGGGGAAUCUUGCGCAAUGGCCUAACGGCUGACGCAGCGACGCCGCGUGUGGGAGGACG